rnacentral:rRNA from 1 species
GCGAACGGGGAGGAGCCCAGAGCCUGAAUCAGUGUGUGUGUUAGUGGAAGCGUCUGGAAAGGCGCGCGAUACAGGGUGACAGCCCCGUACACAAAAAUGCACAUGCUGUGAGCUCGAUGAGUAGGGCGGGACACGUGGUAUCCUGUCUGAAUAUGGGGGGACCAUCCUCCAAGGCUAAAUACUCCUGACUGACCGAUAGUGAACCAGUACCGUGAGGGAAAGGCGAAAAGAACCCCGGCGAGGGGAGUGAAAAAGAACCUGAAACCGUGUACGUACAAGCAGUGGGAGCACAGAGCAAUCUGUGUGACUGCGUACCUUUUGUAUAAUGGGUCAGCGACUUAUAUUCUGUAGCAAGGUUAACCGAAUAGGGGAGCC